UACAGCUUGACGGAGCGCGAGUAAUUCCUCGCUGAGAUUGUGUCCAUUCUUUGUUGCUUGCUCAGUGGCCUGCAACACAGAUUUAAACUCAAGUACCGUUGAACCUGAUCAGGUUAAAACCUGCGUAGGAAUCAAGCCACCUAAAAAC
rnacentral:ncRNA from 1 species